GGACAGAUGGCUGAGUGGUCCAUAGCAUCGUGCUUGAAACACGAAGGUACUGCCUCGUAGGUUCGAAUCCUACUCUGUCCUCUA
rnacentral:tRNA from 1 species